rnacentral:misc_RNA from 1 species
ACAUCUCAACUCUCAUGGCUUGCCAUGACGAGCUUGGACUUUGGGGGUCUUGCUGGCCUAUGGUUGGCUCCUCUCAAAUGGAUCAGCUUGCCAGUGUUUGGUGGUGUCACAGGUGUGAUAAAUAUCUACGCUUGUGGUUUUCUGCCAGGUAACCUUCAGUGGAUGGAGGUUCGCUGGGGCUCACAAACGUCUCUCCUCAGCGAGGACAGCUUUAAC